UUUAAAGAGAGUUUGAUCCUGGCUCAGGAUGAACGCUGGCGGCGUGGAUAAGGCAUGCAAGUCAAACGGAAUAUCUUUUGAAGAAGUUGAGAUUACAUCAAGGCAACGGAUUUAGAUGUUCAGUGGCAGACGGGGUAGUAACACGUAGGAACUUACCUUAGAGACGGGCAUAACUAGCCGAAAGGUUAGCUAAUUCCCGAUAGUUCUCGUAAGAGUAAAUCACUCAGAUUGGCUCUAAGAAAGGCCUGCGGGCUAUCAGCUUGUUGGUAGGGUAAUGGCCUACCAAGGCUAUGACGGCUAGGGGAAGUGAGAGCUUGAUCCCCACCAAUGGAACUGCGACACGGUCCAUACACCUACGGGUGGCUGCAGUCAAGAACAUUCGACAAUGGGCGAAAGCCUGAUCGAGCGACGCCGCGUGCGGGAGGAAGUCCUUCGGGACGUAAACCGCUUUUAUAGGUGAAAAACUAAAGUGAUAUUAGCCUAUGAAUAAGGGCUUGCUAACCUCGUGCCAGCAGCCGCGGUAAUACGAGGAGCCCAAGCGUUAUCCGGAUUUACUGGGCGUAAAGGGUGUGUAGGAGGCAUGGUUAGUCCCUGCUUAAAUUUCACCGCUUAACGGUGAAGCUGGCAGGGAAACGGCCAAGCUUGGAGGGUGCCAGAGGCAAAUGGAACUCUAGGUGUAGGGGUGAAAUCCGUUGAUAUCUAGGGGAACACCAAAGGCGAAGGCAAUUUGCUGGGGCAUUCCUGACUCUGAAACACGAAAGCGUGGGGAUCAAAAAGGAUUAACAAAGGCCACAACAAGGAUGCGAUAUAAAAAUCGCAUGUGGCGCUAGUCCCCUCUGGCUCCAGUUUUGCAGCUGAAUUUUUUCGGCGGUGAAAUUGGAGUCGGAGGUUAAAAAACUUGUCCCGAUGCACUAUUAAAAAUAAAUAGUGAAAUCGAGGAUCCGCGACAUCGCGAGAGCGAUGUCGGGAGCUAUAUGUUCUGGAACAGCCGGAAGAAUCCGGCACUACUAGUAUGGAGGUCUUAUGGGUAAGUAUAUAUUCGAGCUCUCUGGUCAAAAGAAAAAGACCAAGAGAUAUGUUCGAUUAACAGGAAAGUUUAGAGGUAGUUCUGAGAAAGUUAAAGAAGUGAUCAAUGCGAGAAAAAAGAGGUUUGAACGAAAUCAUACCAAUGUUUACGUUUCAGAACCUCUUAACAUUCUCGAUCCAAAUUUGUUUAAAGCUAUCAAGGCAGGCCCAAUUAACUAGUGAAAAAGUGCCCGGUGGUGCGGAGUAAAAUCUGCUACCGGCCAACCAGCAGGGAAGAAUUUGAAAGGAGUAGCUCAUGUAUGAUUUGUUGAUCGAUGUCUCAGUGAGAUAUCGACAUGAAAUCGUGGUCUUGAAAGUUCCGGAGGCACUUCUGGAAAGUAUUAAGAUGCACGCAGAAAACAGGAAAAUUCCACGAAAUCAGGUUUUUGUCGAAGCGCUGGAUCAAGAAGGUGCUUAUACAAAAGAAAUCGCGGAAUGUGAAAGAGUUACUAAAAAUUAAAUUCCCCUCAGAGACUAUACGCCGAGGGGUAGAAAGGAGAAAAAGAUGGAGGUUCGGGGAUCUUAGAUUUCCAGCCUCCAAUAUCUCACUUCUGCCUAUGAUAUAGUCCGAACUCUGCAGCGAUGCAGAGAAGCGAGCAGAAAUGACUCGCUCACUUAGGUGUCCGACACCUAAGUUGUUAGUAACAAAAUGUAGAUACCCUUGUAGUCCACGCCCUAAACGAUGCAGGCUAGGCAUUCGAAGUAUCGACCCUUCGGGAGCCGUAAGCUAACGCGUUAAGCCUGCCGCCUGGGAAGUACGAACGCAAGUUUAAAACUCAAAGGAAUAGACGGGGACUCGCACAAGCGGUGGAGCAUGUGGUUCAAUUCGACGGUAAGCGAAAAACCUCACCAGGGCUUGAAAUGCUUUUGAAGUUUCGGCGAAAGCUGGAACGUCUCACAAGGACAAAAGCACAGGUGCUGCAUGGCCGUCGUCAGCUCGUGGCUUGAGCUGUUCCCUUAAGUGGGGUAACGAGCGCAACCCCUAUCGUCUGUUAUAAGUGUCAGACGAGACUGCCCUCGUAAGAGGGAGGAAGGCGGGGAUGACGCCAGGUCAGCAUGGCCCUUUGAUGCCCUGGGCUACACACGUGCUACAAUGCCGAUGACAAUGGGUUGCGAUGCCGUAAGGCGGAGCCAAUCCCAUCAAAAGUCGGCUCAGUUCGGAUUGAGGUCUGCAACUCGACCUCAUGAAGCUGGAAUCGCUAGUAAUCGCAGGUCAGCUACACUGCGGUGAAUACGUUCUCGAGUCUUGUACUCACCGCCCGUCACGUCAGGGAAGCCGGGAAGAGCUUAAGUCUCAUUUUUGGGCCCAAGCUCGGCUCGGUGACAAGGACGAAGUCGUAACAAGGCACGGCUAGCGGAAGCUGGUCGUGGAGUUUCUCCUAA
rfam:Parcubacteria (Giovannonibacteria) bacterium GW2011_GWF2_42_19 TV11_C0001, whole genome shotgun sequence.